AGCACCAUGGCAUUCUCCUUCUCCAUCGUCCCUCUCCCAGUUACAAUAGCGACGCACACGAUGAUGCCGCCGGGAGCAUACGCCAUCGGAGACACCGAGGCCGGUGUGUGUUGCCUUUUGCUUAUGGUCGGCAGGACUACGCUGCAAGUCUGGCUACUCAAGAAGAAGGACGGCGGCGGCGGGCAUGCGUGGGAGUUGGAGAAGCAAAGCCAUAUAGGCUGGCUGGACAGCUUCAACCGGCGGUUUGGUGUCCAAAUGGUGGCUGCUGGGCUCGCAAUUGUUUACUGCAUGAGUUGCAAGUAUUCUCACUUUGUCAUUGAUCUCAAGGACCUGAGCCUCAAGGAUAAGUUCCGUUGUCAUCGAACCAUGGCGUACCCUUUCCAAAUGCCAUGGCCACCUGCUGCGUUGGUGCCUACUUCUCCGUGCGAACGGCCCACCACACCCCAAACAUAUGCAUGCCGAGAUGCUGAAAAUCAACACGAAGCACCUUCUUCUAGUAGGAAGCGCAAGAGCAAUGAUGAAAUGGAGCCAUGUAUUUCCCCAGCUUCUUUGAAGAAUGAAUUCAUCAGAUAAGAAAUUGUGCUAUGAGAUUGGACCGCCGACUUGAAUAUAAAGAAGGCGAUCAACAAUUGCACCUUUAAACCCCUUCACUACUGGGUGUUGAGAUACAACUGAUUGAGUUGGGAGGGAGCUCCAAAUCUGCCUAGCCCUCGUUUUGAUGACCACAACAAAGACCAGCUGUUAUUUCUUGAUCUCCCGUUUCUGUUUGGUUUUUAUAUUUCUGAAUUAUUGUAAUGCAUUAGUCUGUAAGAUGGCUUGUAGUUCUAAAGAUUAUAUUGGGGUGUUAUCAGAUUCGUAAGAACGUUAUAAACUGUUAUUGUGGGUCAUGUAGUUGUAAGUUAUAUCAGGAAUUCAAUGUUCUCGUAACCUCCUCGGC